rnacentral:rRNA from 1 species
AUUGAACGCUGGCGGCAGGCCUAACACAUGCAAGUCGAACGAGUGGCGGACGGGUGAGUAAUGUCUGGGAAACUGCCUGAUGGAGGGGGAUAACUACUGGAAACGGUAGCUAAUACCGCAUACCAUCGGAUGUGCCCAGAUGGGAUUAGCUAGUAGGUGGGGUAAAGGCUCACCUAGGCGACGAUCCCUAGCUGGUCUGAGAGGAUGACCAGGCUCACUGGAACUGGGACGCGGUGCAGACUCCGACGGGAGGCAGCAGUGGGGAAUAUUGCACAAUGGGCGCAAGCCUGAUGCAGCCAUGCCGCGUGGAUGAAUAAGGCCUUCGGGUUGGAAAGUACUUUCAGCGGGGAGGCGUUACCCUCAGGAGAAGCACCGGCUAACUCCGUGCCAGCAGCCGCGGUAAUUC